rnacentral:tRNA from 2 species
GCCGGCAUAGCUCAGCGGUAGAGCAACUGAUUCGUAAUCAGUAGGUCCGCGGUUCAAAUCCGCGUGCCGGCACCA